rnacentral:lncRNA from 1 species
GUAAGGAGGAAGAUCUUUGAAGAACAGAUUGAAAAAAUGCUUUGUCUAAGAAUUGCAGGAAUAUUCUAGUGGAUGAAAUAAUUUAUUGACUUGACUCUUAUAUAGUGGACUGUAUAAUUGUACAUACAUUGUAGCAAGCAGUGAAAAAAGAAAACUUAAACUUUAACAGAAAAAGUGUUUAUAUUAUAAAUUUGCAAAUAUAAGCAUAAUAUUAUGUACACCACAAAGGUAUAUAAUUCAAAUUGUUUGCCUAUUCAUGUUUUGCAAUGAAACUAUAACAAAGAAAACCUUACCUCAUGAAAAGAGUAAACUAUUUAGUCAGAAUAUGAAAUAUUUUUCUCAGUUCUAUUUUUCAUAAUAAAAUAAACAAGAC